GUGCCAGCAGCCGCGGUAAUACCGGCAGCCCGAGUGAUGGCCGAUCUUAUUGGGCCUAAAGCGUCCGUAGCUGGCCGCGCAAGUUCGUCGGGAAAUCCACUCGCUUAACGAGUGGGCGUCCGGCGAAAACUGUGCGGCUUGGGACCGGAAGAUCCAAGGGGUACGUCCAGGGUAGGAGUGAAAUCCUGUAAUCCUGGACGGACCGCCGGUGGCGAAAGCGCCUCGAGAGGACGGACCCGACGGUGAGGAACGAAAGCCAGGGUCUCGAACCGGAUUAGAAACCCUGGUAGUCC
rnacentral:rRNA from 1 species